GGGCGUGUAACUCAGUGGUAGAGUGCUCGCUUCGCAUCUAUUCGAUACUGAACUGCGAGAAGUCCAGGGUUCAACUCCCUGCUCGUCCA